AGGAGUGUAGCUCAGCUGGUAGAGCAGCGGUCUCCAAAACCGCCGGUCGCGGGUUCGAGUCCUGCCACUCCUGCCA
rnacentral:tRNA from 1 species